rnacentral:lncRNA from 1 species
CCGCACCUAGAACUUUGCCCAGACCCUCUUCUGCACUUUCCCCAGGGCUGCCCCCGGCGAGCCCAGCCCCAGGCUGAGCCCUCGGACCCUGACCCCGGGUGCCGAGCUGAGGGAGCACCCAAGAGGGCUACCAGGUGGUUGGGUGUGGAGUGUUGGCAGCAAGGAGUAAUUAACAUGGAGACAAAAGCUGCCGCUGAAAUUCGCUGUGGCCGCUGCCUCUUCCCGCUUUAAUCCCAGACCUCCAGUCAUUGGGCAGCUCCUCAGAGGCAAGAAGUCAACACCAUGGCAACCCGACAAGCCUAUCAAAUCACCGGCUGGUGUGACAGCGGCAACACUGCAGGCAGGAGUGGGUUGGGCAGAAGAGCAGAGUGGCCGCCACGCUCAGCAAAAAAUGAUAACAUCAUUUUUAUGUGACUCAUAUGCAAAAUGAAAUACAUUCAUCUAUGAGAUCGGCUGAUGGGAAAUAAAAUCAGAUAUUUUACUUCUAACUCCAUCAAGCAAAAGAAAAAUCAGUUGUGAUUCCAAGAAGAGAUGAACUCUUGGAGAAGAAAUUUCCAGUGCUUUUCUGUCACUCAUCAGUUUUGGUCUCUCUCUGAACUUCAAUAUCUUUAUCUACAAAAUGAUGCAAACUGGGUGAUUUUAAAUUUACUUAAUAUAGGUGAGAUACUUUUUUAUUUUUAUUAGCCAUGUUAUAUGUUUGAAAGCAAAAUAACCUGAAAAUUUUAAGUGUAUAAAACGAAGGCUUUUUAAGUUCAGGAUUGUUUUAAUGGCCACUGUAUUUAACUUCAUUUGCUAUAAUCCUAGUAACAUUAUGGUCAAAUAGUAACUGUGGAAAUGGUGCCAUUUUAUCUUAGUUUUACAGAUAGUCACAUUAAAUGGCUGAUUCUUGUUGAUGUUUGACAGAAAGCAACAAAAUUCUGUAUAGCAAUUAUCCUUCAAUUAAAAAAUAAAUAGUUUUAAAAAAUAAGCUAGCA